rnacentral:rRNA from 1 species
GACAGAGGGUGCAAACGUUGUUCGGAAUUACUGGGCGUAAAGCGCGUGUAGGCGGCCCUGCAAGUCGGAUGUGAAAUCCCACGGCUCAACCGAGGAACUGCGUCCGAUACUGGCAGGCUGGAAUCCGGGAGAGGGAUGUGGAAUUCCAGGUGUAGCGGUGAAAUGCGUAGAUAUCUGGAGGAACACCGGUGGCGAAGGCGGCAUCCUGGACCGGUAUUGACGCUGAGGCGCGAAAGCUAGGGGAGCAAACGGG